AUUGCUUCUUGGCCUUUUGGCUAAGAUCAAGUGUAGUAAAUAUAUAUAUUUUUCAUAAUCUAAUUUAAAUCAAUGGAAUCAAACUUCC
ensembl:snRNA U2 U2 spliceosomal RNA